rnacentral:rRNA from 1 species
UACAGUCGCAAGGCUGAAACUCAAAGGAAUUGACGGGGGCCCGCACAAGCGGUGGAGCAUGUGGUUCAAUUCGACGCAACGCGAAGAACCUUACCUGGGCUCGAACGGCUGGUCAACGCCGGUAGAAAUACCGGUACCCCGCAAGGGGGUCCAGUCGAGGUGCUGCAUGGCUGUCGUCAGCUCGUGUCGUGAGAUGUUGGGUUAAGUCCCGCAACGAGCGCAACCCUUGUCCUGUGUUGCCAUCAUUCAGUUGGGAACUCGCAGGAGACCGCCAGCGAUAAGCUGGAGGAAGGUGGGGAUGACGUCAAGUCCUCAUGGCCUUUAUGUCCAGGGCUACACACGUGCUACAAUGGACGGUACAAACCGCAGCAAACCCGCGAGGGGGAGCCAAUCGGAAAAAACCGUUCUCAGUUCGGAUUGCAGGCUGCAACUCGCCUGCAUGAAGCUGGAAUCGCUAGUAAUGGCAGAUCAGCACGCUGCCGUGAAUACGUUCCCGGGCCUUGUACACACCGCCCGUCACAUCACGAAAGUGGAUUGUACUAGAAGUCUGCAGGCUGACCCGCAAGGGGGGCAGCGGCCCAAGGUAUGAUCCAUGAUUGGGGUG